rnacentral:rRNA from 1 species
UACGAAGGAUGCAAGCGUUAUCCGGAUUUAUUGGGUUUAAAGGGUGCGUAGGCGGCCUUAUAAGUCAGUGGUGAAAUCUCGUUGCUUAACAACGAACGUGCCAUUGAUACUGUAGGUCUUGAGUACAGAUGCCGUUGGCGGAAUGUGUCAUGUAGCGGUGAAAUGCAUAGAUAUGACACAGAACACCGAUUGCGAAGGCAGCUGACGAAACUGUAACUGACGCUGAGGCACGAAAGCGUGGGGAUCAAAACGG